rnacentral:rRNA from 1 species
CAGUCGCGCGGUAAUACGUAGGGGGCAAGCGUUAUCCGGAAUUACUGGGUGUAAAGGGAGCGUAGACGGUUAAACAAGUCUGAAGUGAAAUGCCGGGGCUCAACCCCGGAGCUGCUUUGGGAACUGUAGAACUGGAGUGUCGGAGGGGUAAGCGGAAUUCCCAGUGUAGCGGUGAAAUGCGUAGAUAUUGGGAGGAACACCGGCGGCGAAGGCGGCUUACUGGACGACAACUGACGUUGAGGCUCGAAGGCGUGGGUAGCAAACAGGAUUAGAUACCCGCGUAGUCCCUGUCUCUUAUACA